rnacentral:rRNA from 1 species
UACGUGGGGGGCAAGCGUUGUUCGGAAUUACUGGGCGUAAAGGGCUCGUAGGCGGCCAACUAAGUCAGACGUGAAAUCCCUCAGCUUAACUGGGGAACUGCGUCUGAUACUGGAUGGCUUGGAUUCGGGAGAGGAAUGCGGAAUUCCAGGUGUAGCGGUGAAAUGCGUAGAUAUCUGGAGGAACACCGGUGGCGAAGGCGGCAUUCUGGACCGAUAUUGACGCUGAGGAGCGAAAGCCAGGGGAGCAAACGGG